AUGGACAAUAGGAUAGUUCCAUGGGACGAACUCACCAGUAGUGACACCAUAAUGAAUGAGUUGGCUCACCAACUACGUAGGUCUGGGUGGCCUGAAAGGACCUAUGAGGAGGUACGUCAAGAACUUCUUAGGUUGCAUGAAAGAUGGAAGAAGGUGGUGGAGCCGAAGAGUGAAACUUUCAGAAGGACUGCAGAAAAGCAUCCAUUUUUAUGGACUGAGGAGAGCGAGGACGACGGUGAUAUCUUCAUGUCGCCGCUUCCGGGUUCUGCAUCGUCGAAGGGCAAGAGUUCUGCAUCGUCCAAAGGAAAGAGUUAUGCAUCCGCGAAGGGCAAGAGUUCUGUAUCGACCAAGGGCAAGAGUUCUGCAUCGACGAAAGGCAAGAAGAGCGCAUCGUCGAAGGGCAAGAGGGCUGCAUCAACGGAGGAUGACGAUGAUGACUUCAUGUAG
rnacentral:rRNA from 1 species